rnacentral:misc_RNA from 1 species
GCGAUAUAAUCAAAGCAAGAACCGCUUGUUCCGAAGAACAAAUAAAUUACAGAAAAACAAAUUUUUUAAAAAAAACCAUAAUUUUAUUACACCACAUCACUGAGCUUUCUUAAUCAGUUUGAGCCCAACACUAUAUGACCAUAACACUUGGGUGUAUGAAUCACAAACUCCAAAGUUGAUUCACAAAACCAAGCACAUAUACUAGCAAAAUUAAAUGGUCGAUAUGUCAUCUAUGUGAUAACUGUAGGCGCAGAUCGACCGGUGAAUUCUUGCAUUUUCGAUAGCUUCAACGCUACCGCAACAAGGGGACCAAGUGCUUCUUGUGAAUCUCUGCCAAUCUUGCUGGGAUCCUUCUCAUACUGUUCGAUAUAGACACGGAUGGUCGCGCCUUCAGAUCCCGUCCCUGAGAGGCGGAAUACCAGUCGCGAUCCGUCUGCAAAGAGAUAUCGGAUACCCUGGUGCUUCGAGAUUGAGCCAUCAACGGGAUCCUUGUACUCAAAUUCAUCGGCUUGGGCGACAUUAGCGACAUCUGGGCUUAUCUCUUUUAUGAUUUUGUUAACAUCAGGAAGAGAUGACUGCAGAGUCACCAAGUGUGCCAUAAGUUCCUUGGCUGCACCUGC